AGUUUAAAGAAACUAUUUUAAAUGAAUCCUGCCCAGUGUAAAAUUAUAAAUGGCCGCAGUACCUUGACUGUGCAAAGGUAGCAUAAUCAAUUGGCUUUUAAUUGAAGUCUGGAAUGAAUGGAAUUUUGAAAAAUUUCUGUCUUAAAAAUAUUUGAUUGAAUUUAAUUACUAGGUGAAAAUACCUAUAUUAAGGAAAAAAGACGAGAAGACCCUUAGAAUUUUUAUAAUAUUAUAUUUAUUAAUUUAUUUUUGUUGGGGCGACAAUUAAACAUAUUUAAACUUUAAAUUUAAUUCAUAACGAAAUUUAUUAUACAAGAAUAAAUUACCUUAGGGAUAACAGCAUAAUUUUUUAAAAAGUUUGUGACCUCGAUGUUGGACUAGGAACUUAAUGGCUAGCAGUCAAUAUAGAUUUGUUCUGUUCGAACAAUUUAAUCCU
rnacentral:rRNA from 1 species